CCGCGUGUGUGAAGAAGGCUUUCGGGUUGUAAAGCACUUUCAGUGGGGAAGAAGGCUUGUCGGCCAAUACCCGGCAAGAGCGACAUCACCCACAGAAGAAGCACCGGCUAACUCCGUGCCAGCAGCCGCGGUAAUACGGAGGGUGCAAGCGUUAAUCGGAAUUACUGGGCGUAAAGCGCGCGUAGGCGGCUUGUCACGCCGGGUGUGAAAGCCCCGGGCUCAACCUGGGAACGGCAUCCGGAACGGGCAGGCUAGAGUGCAGGAGAGGAAGGUAGAAUUCCCGGUGUAGCGGUGAAAUGCGUAGAGAUCGGGAGGAAUACCAGUGGCGAAGGCGGCCUUCUGGACUGACACUGACGCUGAGGUGCGAAAGCGUGGGUAGCAAACAGGAUUAGAUACCCUGGUAGUCCACGCCGUAAACGAUGUCGACUAGCCGUUGGGUCCCUUGAGGACUUAGUGGCGCAGUUAACGCGAUAAGUCGACCGCCUGGGGAGUACGGCCGCAAGGUUAAAA
rnacentral:rRNA from 1 species